rnacentral:lncRNA from 1 species
ACUCCAAGGCCCUUCAUCAGGCUUGCUCUGCUUGCAGCCCCACGGAGAGGAGCAGCUGUGCUAAGAGGCUCGUGUGUGUGUGUGUGUGUGUGUGUGUGUGUGUGUGUGUAAGUGUUGUGUAUAUGUGUGAGAGUGUGUGCAUGUGUGUGUAUGUAUAUGUGUGUGAGUGUGCAUAUGUGAGUAUGUAUGUUUGUGUGUAUGUGUGUGAGUGUGUGUUUGUGUGUCUGUGUGUGAGUAUGCAUGUGUGAGUGUGUGUUUGUGUGUAUGUGGGCAUAUAUGUGAGUGUGUGUAUGUGUGUGAGUGUGUGUAUAGAUGUAUAAAUCUGUGUGUGAGUGUGUAGAUGUGUGUGUAUGUGUGAGCAUGUGUGAGCAUGUGUGUGAGUGUGUAGAUGUGUGAGCAUGUGUGAGCAUGUGUGUGAGUGUGUGUGUGAGAGAGUUUCUUCCUUCUUCCUCAGUUUUGCAGCCCAGACUUUUGCCCAUCUGGAUGCAAACCCUGAAGCUUCCAAGCCUCCAGACUUGGCCUGAACCCAGACCAAAGAAGAAUCCCGUUGUCUUAUAUCUGCUCUCACACUCAGGUUGGGGAUGGAUGAAGAGGACUUUCCCUUGAGGGUGAUGAGUUCCUGGAGAGAAAUACACUUCCGAAAAGCAACGUCAGCAUGAUUUAUGCAACAGCCCACUGCCAGGCUUCUUUCAUUUCUCUCCAACUCUGAAACACAGGCUAGAGGUUACUGCUUAUCUUCCAUCCCAGAAGGAGACUCUGAUCAGAGGAGAGCUUGGUAUUAUGCCAGGAUCUGAAUUGGAAACCACAGCCUUGAGACGAUGCCAACUGGGCCAAUUAAGAAGGUGUUGACGACGCUUCCCAGGAACGGGUUUCUAGAUAUUUUAACUUUGAUGGAAAAGUUUAAGCUUCUAAAAAUCCCCAAGAACCUCAUAUUUUCCAGGGACUAGUGCCUGGACUCUUAAAGGCUUCCAAGAAAACAGGAUUCUCAGAAGCCCUUUCGACCU